UCCUACGGGAGGCAGCAGUGGGGAAUAUUGCACAAUGGGCGCAAGCCUGAUGCAGCCAUGCCGCGUGUAUGAAGAAGGCCUUCGGGUUGUAAAGUACUUUCAGCGGGGAGGAAGGCGAUGCGGUUAAUAACCGCGUCGAUUGACGUUACCCGCAGAAGAAGCACCGGCUAACUCUGUGCCAGCAGCCGCGGUAAUACGUAGGUGGCAAGCGUUGUCCGGAUUUACUGGGCGUAAAGAGUAUGUAGGUGGGUGCUUAAGUCAGAUGUGAAAUUCCCGGGCUUAACCUGGGCGCUGCAUUUGAAACUGGGCAUCUAGAGUGCAGGAGAGGAAAGUGGAAUUCCUAGUGUAGCGGUGAAAUGCGUAGAGAUUAGGAAGAACACCAGUGGCGAAGGCGACUUCCUGGACUGUAACUGACACUGAGAUACGAAAGCGUGGGUAGCAAACAGGAUUAGAUACCCUGGUAGUCC
rnacentral:rRNA from 1 species